rfam:Helianthus annuus linkage group 16, whole genome shotgun sequence.
UACCAUCUUUUACGUGCACACCACACCACGUCAAGGCUACAUUGAUGUAUUCAACGAUUAUAUAGCCUCGGCCGAUAGGCCCAGGAAAUCUUCGAAAUUUCAUCGUGAUGAGGAUAGAUCAUUGUAAUUAUUGGUCUAAAACGAUAAAUUCCUUAUAAGCCAGAGUAAUCAGCUAGCAUUGACUACAUCCCUA